GAGUUGGUGAAAAGCAGCUGUUUUUUAUUUGUUCUCCAUCCACAUCUGAUUAGAUAGCCCUGCUUCUGCCCACUGAGACGUGCUCGGGAACUCUCCCAGCCUCUCUGCUCACUCAUUUUCUUGGGCAUUUAGGAGCUUGGGACUGUCGGAGCUUUGUUUCACAAGCUGACGGCAUUUCAGAGGCCAAACCUGUGAGUCAUCUUCACACCGUGCCACUGGAGGACUCUUCCACCAAAGCAGAUGUCAUCUUUCAGAGGACAUGGAUGAGCAUUUUGCUCAUCCCUUCUGGUCCUGCCUCUGCUGUCCCUUCCCCUGUUACGUGACUAAUUGACAAGAUGAACAGUUCUGGACCUUUUCACUGCUGCUGCAGCUUCCAUUUGCUGUCUGGAUCCUUAGAGCAGAAUAACCCACUUGCAAGGGUGGAUAACCAGGGCUUGUUACUGCAACGAGGAGAGAAGGGCAGAUAAGCUUAUCUGAGCCUGAGAACUUUUUAUCUUUUUAUUCAUUUUUUGUUUUUUGCUCUUUGGGAUGGGGAUCUCCCGUGACAAGUCAGAAGCUGUGAGGCUGAGCUCCUGGUGCUGUGUUGGGACAAGCCCUGACCACGCUCCCACAUUGUGUGCUGAGAGUGAGCUUCAGCUCACGUAACCCUCAUCUGUUCCUCACUGCGGGCUUCUGUGCCUUUGCCUUGGGUUCCUAAGUGAAUUUCUGGGAGUCCCGGGUUAAGUCCAGUGCAGAAGUUGGGGCUGCAGAGCUUCCAGAAGGAGAGCUGGAGCGAUGCACCUCUCAGUCCAUCAUGGAAACAACAGUGGAAAUAACAAGGGCUUUGUGAGAGGCUGAAGCUUCCGGAUAGGAUCUGCAACGCUCAGGUUCAGGUAUCAGUUGCAUAAUUUCCUGUUAUUUCAACACUCCUGUUUUUUUUUCCUUUUCUUUCUUUCUCUCUCUCUCUCUCUCUCUCUCUCUUUUUAAUGAGCUUCUUUGCAUACUGGAUAAGUCUUAUAUAAGCAUACGUUGGGUUGGAAAAAAAAAAUUUUUUUUGAGUAUUUUUUUUGGCAGACAUCUCCUGGCACAUGAUACAGCACUCAGAGCCAUCAACCGUAGCUGCGAUACAGAUGUUCAUUGCCUGUAUAAUCUUUCUCAUAUCAAGCAAUCACCCCGAGCCAAUUCCUUUAUUUUAAGCACCUUGCUGUGGGAACAGAGCUGUAAAUGCAGGAGCUGCGGAGUUCCCUCACACAUUUUACAACAGACAAACAGAAAAUUCAGCGCAGGUUCUCCGUGCAAACCAAACAGGCAGGGUGCUUUAGAUAAGAAAUGAGAGCCACUAGCAGAUAGUAUUAGGAAAAAAAAGAGUCUCUCUCGAAAGAGAUACACUGGAGGAGUGCCAAUAGCACAUAGCUGUGUGGAGACUAAAUAAAACCAGGUGAGUUUCCUGCCAUUGUGGAAUAUCAAAUGUGAUUUCCAUUUGUGAUGGACGUGCUGGUUCUGCCAAGAUCAUCUGGAGGUUUUCAUUUUAGGACUUUUUAUUUUUGUUGGCCCAAUACAGAGCUACAGCCCAGAGCUAAAAGGGAGUGUUGCAGCACCGAUGCUCACAGCAGAUGAUGCCUUAAUCUGAGUGAGAAGCUCUUCCUGGGAGAAGGCUUUUCUGCAAUCAGUGCUAUAGGGCACAGGACAGCUCCUAAUACAAAACACAUGGGAAAACCCUGUGGAAAGAAAUGAUGUAUGAGCACUGAUCCUUACUCCCGAGCUACCAGGUAACAUCCUUCCACAUUAAGAACUGGGCUUGGUCCCAAAACAUCAUUCAAAUACUAGGUGUGAACCUGAGAUCCAGAUUAGGCUGUUUUGCACUUCUAAAGUGAUACGGAAAGGCUGGCAAGCUGCCCUAAUAAUGAUGAUAAAAAAACAGUCAGAGGUUUCUCUCCCCCAAGUGCUGUGCAGGGGUGGAGAAGGGCUGGCACGGCCCUCCUGCAGCCCUGCGUGUUGGGACAGGGCACCUGCUCCAAGCCGAGCCCUUGGCCUUGGUGUGUGUGUGUGAUUGCAGCGAUGCUCAGCUCCUUUCUGCUGCACUGCUUCCCGUUGGGUUCUUCUCCAGCUCAGGAGCUUCACCCCACCACUGGCAGACCUUCAGAGAAGUCGGUUCUUGCACAAACAGGAAGGCAGACUCCCUUCCCAUUAAUUGAGGUGGUGCUUCCAAUCCUCAGCCAGAGGACACAGGGGCAGGGAGGUGUUUGCCUCCAGGACCAGGAUUGGAGCUGGUCUGGAGAAAUACAUUUCCCAGGUGAGCAGAUCUGGCCCUUCCUGGGCAUCAGGUUCAGAGCCAGCUCAGGGACAAACUCAGCACUGUCUUCUGACUGUUAUGGGGGGAACCAAUUUCUAUCCUGAGUGCUUCAGCCCAUGCCAUGCAACCAGGAGUGUUGGACCCCUCCAGAUGCCCUAUGAAUGAAUUUCUCAAAGGCUGCCUGGGAGGAAACUCAAUCACAUUUCAGUUUAAUUAAGUGAUACCCAAAGUGAUGACGUCUGGAACCGACCUUGCUGGAUCUUCUCCUUCCCGCUGUGACUGCCAUAACUCCUGCAGCAGCAGCUGAGAUUGCUCAGACAUCUGCAGCUCCAUGUGGAGCCUCACUGCUGGCUUUGGUCUCAUGUUACCCAGCUGAGAUGUGAUCCUGGCAGGUCUGGGUGGGGGCUGCCUCGUGCCAUGCUGGGCACAUAGCGGUGUGCCCAUUGGCAGCUCAAUGGGAACCAACAGUGGAAUUACAGCAAAGAAUGUUUGAUGGACCACAAAAGGCUUUGAAAUUUUCUUCCAUGGAAGGCCAGUCUGAUCCUAUUAUAGUCCACAGUACGUCUGCAAUCUGUAGGACUUGCCGGUAACGUGGAUAUGCAUUAUUCCUUUAAUAAAAGCAAAUGAUGGCAAGGAAUGUGGCUCUUUUAACCUUCAGCUUGUGUAACCUGCAAAAAGGGAAAGCAAUCAGCUGGCCUUCCAGCUCAAGAGGUUUCUCCAUGUGAGUCUGGCACACGCACUCAGCCCGCUCCUGACACGCUUCCAAGAAUCCCGUCUGUGUCCCAGUAAAAAAACCCCAACCACUCUGUGUUGAGAGAGGCCCAUUCAAGCUGCAGCACACGCGGCCUGUGCUGCUCAUAUUUCCAGAUUCUGAAUCAUUUCCUCCAUCCACGCGGCCAUCUCUCUCUGUCUGGGGUUGGAAAUGUCCUGCUCUCUGCUGUCGCUGCUCCCUUUGAGUGCUGCCCUGGGGGGCUGCUGUGCAUGGAGAUGUGUCCUUUAAUGCAGCAGCAACAACAUCCCUUGACACUGCUGGGUUUCGUUAUGGGGAAUGUCAUCUGCCAUUGCCAUAUCUACUGGAGCAGGAUGGGUGCAAUGUCUCCCCAUACACAGUCCCAGCUCUGGAUUCAUCCCAUGGUGAUCCCUCCAGUUGGGGUACCCCUGCCUGGUGAGAUGGA
ensembl:lncRNA